rnacentral:rRNA from 1 species
GACGAACGCUGGCGGCGUGCUUAACACAUGCAAGUCGAACGGAAAGGCCCUGCUUUUGUGGGGUGCUCGAGUGGCGAACGGGUGAGUAACACGUGAGUAACCUGCCCUUGACUUUGGGAUAACUUCAGGAAACUGGGGCUAAUACCGGAUAGGAGCUCCUGCUGCAUGGUGGGGGUUGGAAAGUUUCGGCGGUUGGGGAUGGACUCGCGGCUUAUCAGCUUGUUGGUGGGGUAGUGGCUUACCAAGGCUUUGACGGGUAGCCGGCCUGAGAGGGUGACCGGCCACGUUGGGACUGAGAUACGGCCCAGACUCCUACGGGAGGCAGCAGUGGGGAAUAUUGCACAAUGGGCGGGAGCCUGAUGCAGCAACGCCGCGUGCGGGAUGACGGCCUUCGGGUUGUAAACCGCUUUCGCCUGUGACGAAGCGUGAGUGACGGUAAUGGGUAAAGAAGCACCGGCUAACUACGUG